GUGUGUUUACAUGAGGAAUAAGCCAGAGGCUGGGAGUCUUUCUGAUCAUACUGCAUUGAGCAAGUGGGAGGAGUUCUGGAUGUGGAAUGCUGGAGCCACAGUCUUACCUUCUCCUGGGGUCUGAAGAUUUCCUCUCUGCCCUCCCUGCUCUUCAAUUGCCAUCAUGAAGCUCCUGGCGUUCCUGGUCCUGGUGGCCGUUUCCACCUUCCUGGUCUCUGGCCAGAAUGCAACGGAUGCUCCCUCUGACACCUCUUCUGCUGCCUCCACUGCUGCCGUGACCACUGCCCCUGCUUCCACGACCUCUGCUGCCAGCACCACUGCUGCUACUACCAGGAAGAACCUUCUUUCAGGUAUAUUCGAUCAGAUAAGGAAAAUCCUGGGAAAAUGAAACUCAGAAACUUUUAUGAGAUGGAAUCAGACUGGGCCCUCCGCACGUGAUCCCGCUGGACUGGGCCAGAAUGUCCCUUCAUCUGAUUUAAUGCAACUACUUACCAUGCCUACCUUCUCUUUCUUACCUCUAAUCAGUUUAUCUGCUUUCAAAUAAAGAUUAAUAAUGAGCAACAUCAAAAA